AAAUUGAAAAUCAGUCAGGAGAACAAACAAGAACAGACAGGUUUCAAAACAAUGUAUCCUACUUCCUGUUCUACUGAACUUCAAGGGUCAUGUCGUCUCCCAAGGGUAACCUUGGACUCAAGAAGAGACUCAGGGAAAAGAGAGCAAGUCUGAGAUGUGAAAUGCAAAGCAAAUCAUGUUUAAGAUGUACUAAGGGAGUUGGCUAUUUAAAGGGCACCCAAGAUCAUCAGCUAUCUAGUAUAUUUUAUGUGUUGCCCAAGACAAUUCUUCCAAUGUGGCCCAGGGAAGCCAAAAGACUGGACUCUCCUGAUCUACACACUCUCAGGGAGAAGGACAGACUCAUGUAGGAGCUUGUUUACAGGUGAAGAUUCAGUGAAUCACAAUGGCAUGAGGAAGAAACAAGAGUCAAAGGGCAACAGUAAUUUAAUCAAAGGGUUCACUUCCUCUCCAUGCAUCACUUGCCAACAACUAUACAGAACCCACGACAGAAGACUCAAAAAUGUGUUCUUGGUGCCUUCAGGAGGAUGCAACUUGGGUUCCAGGAAGAAAAAGAAUUAUAGGAACAAUGGCAUUUGGAGAUGAAGGCAUUUGGAAAGAGAACCAAGAAAAUAUAGCCACCGUACCUUGGGAACUGACGUCAUACUUUUCAGCAGAGAGCGAUUUAAUAUCAAGGGUGACUUUUUGUAACAUCUCGAUUACUUGGACUUGUUGGGUAAAGUCGUGCAGCAUGGCUGUGCCACAGCCCCUCAAAUAGGCUUCCAGAAUCACAGCGAACCUCUGCUGAUAGUGUCUGGACUGGGCUAUCUCACUUCUCAAGAACCAAAACAAAAAGUGACCAAUUCUUUUGUUCUGAGGGCAGGUACAAGAAAGUUGAAAUUAUUAUGACUAAUGCUUUAGGUCUACCAGUUAAUUCUUGGCAACUUAAAAUUUCACGCUAUUAUCAAAAUGGAAGUACUUACUCUUAAACCACGCUUCAGCAGAAAUCUGGCAAGGGCGCUAUCAUGGUAUGGUUCAAAUUUCACAGCCUAAAGGAAGAACACAUUGGCAUUUGUAGGACUGUACUCUAUGUUGUUGAAUCAGGGAAAAGGAAAUGGAGAAGAAUUGGUGCUCUGCUUUACUCGGUCUUCAUGGCUAGAAAGAUGAAAAUCUUAACAGUCACUUAAGUUUAAUCCUGUCUUUUAGAGGACACUUAGGACCAGACUGAACCACUUGCUUAAGAUCAUAGAGCAGCCGAUGACAUAACUGGGAUUAGAGGCUGAAACUCUUGACUCACAGUCAUGUGCUGCUGAUAAAUUCAAAGGUGAAGAGGUGAGGGAAUUUGCUCUAAUUAGGUCUUACUGGUUUUGUUGGAGGGGUAGAGGGGGAAGAUGGAGACACUGUAAUCAAUCUAUAAAGUGGAAGGUAAGAGAGAAUGUGAGAAAGAAAAUGGACAGUGGAGAUAUAGUAUAAUACACGUAAGGAGAAAAAUAUUUGUUAGAUGAAAAGAUCCUAAAAGCCCUAUAGCUUCCCUUUCUGGCAUCUCACUGGCAAGUCACUGAACUGUCUCACAGGUCCUUAACUACAAGUAAACAGUGGCUCUAGAUUAAUCUACACAGAGCAAUCACUACCCCCUGCCACACUGUGGUGUGUACAGAGCUUUCUGUCCAAAAGUCCCUGAUUUUAUGUUUUCUUAAGUAUAAUUUGAUCUUCGUUUUUAGUGUUUAGUAAUUUUCAUAUCACUUGGCUGAUGUUAGAGAAUAUUGACUUAGUACAGCUCCAUUACUGACGACGGAGAACCGACAAAAUGUAAAAAACACAAUUAAAUCUUGUGAGUGCAUAGGUG